rnacentral:rRNA from 1 species
AGUAAUUGCCUAGUACGGCGAGUGAGCGGCAACAGCUCAAAUUUGAAAUCUGGCUCUUUUAGAGUCCGAGUUGUAAUUUGCAGAGGGCGCUUUGGCUUUGGCAGCGGUCCAAGUUCCUUGGAACAGGACGUCACAGAGGGUGAGAAUCCCGUACGUGGUCGCUGGCUAUUGCCGUGUAAAGCCCCUUCGACGAGUCGAGUUGUUUGGGAAUGCAGCUCUAAAUGGGAGGUACAUUUCUUCUAAAGCUAAAUAUUGGCCAGAGACCGAUAGCGCACAAGUAGAGUGAUCGAAAGAUGAAAAGCACUUUGGAAAGAGAGUCAAACAGCACGUGAAAUUGUUGAAAGGGAAGCGCUUGCAGCCAGACUUGCUUACAGUUGCUCAUCCGGGUUUCUACCCGGUGCACUCUUCUGUAGGCAGGCCAGCAUCAGUUUGGGCGGUAGGAUAAAGGUCUCUGUCACGUACCUCCUUUCGGGGAGGCCUUAUAGGGGAGACGACAUACUACCAGCCUGGACUGAGGUCCGCGCAUCUGCUAGGAUGCUGGCGUAAUGGCUGUAAGCGGCCCGUCUUGAAACCACGGACCAA